CAAGUCGAGCGGCAGCACGGGUAGCAAUACCUGGUGGCGAGCGGCGGACGGGUGAGGAAUACAUCGGAAUCUGCCUUGUCGUGGGGGAUAACGUAGGGAAACUUACGCUAAUACCGCAUACGACCGAGAGGUGAAAGCGGGGGAUCGCAAGACCUCGCGCGACAAGAUGAGCCGAUGUCGGAUUAGCUAGUUGGCGGGGUAAGAGCCCACCAAGGCGACGAUCCGUAGCUGGUCUGAGAGGAUGAUCAGCCACACUGGAACUGAGACACGGUCCAGACUCCUACGGGAGGCAGCAGUGGGGAAUAUUGGACAAUGGGCGCAAGCCUGAUCCAGCCAUGCCGCGUGGGUGAAGAAGGCCUUCGGGUUGUAAAGCCCUUUUGUUGGGGACGAAAUCGUACGGGUGAAUACCCCGUGCGGAUGACGGUACCCAAAGAAUAAGCACCGGCUAACUUCGUGCCAGCAGCCGCGGUAAUACGAAGGGUGCAAGCGUUACUCGGAAUUACUGGGCGUAAAGCGUGCGUAGGCGGUUUGUUAAGUCCGUUGUGAAAGCCCUGGGCUCAACCUGGGAAUUGCAGUGGAUACUGGCGAGCUAGAGUGCGGUAGAGGAUGGUGGAAUUCCCGGUGUAGCGGUGAAAUGCGUAGAGAUCGGGAGGAACACCCGUGGCGAAGGCGGCCAUCUGGACCAGCACUGACGCUGAGGCACGAAAGCGUGGGGAGCAAACAGGAUUAGGUACCCUGGUAGUCCACGCCCUAAACGAUGCGAACUGGACGUUGGGUGGACUUAGCCACUCAGUGUCGAAGCUAACGCGUUAAGUUCGCCCCCUGGGGAGUACGGUCGCAAGACUGAAACUCAAAGGAAUUGACGGGGGCCCGCACAAGCGGUGGAGUAUGUGGUUUAAUUC
rnacentral:rRNA from 1 species